AGGUAUUGCAACAUGAAUACAUAGUGUUGCAAGGCGAACGAGGGGAAGUGAAACAUCUCAGUACCCUUAGGAAAAGAAAUCAAUUGAGAUUCCCUCAGUAGCGGCGAGCGAACGGGGGUCAGCCCAUUAAGUUAUGUGUGUUUUAGUGGAACGCUCUGGGAAGUGCGAACGUAGAGGGUGAUAUUCCCGUACACGAAAGGGCACACAUAAUGAUGACGAGUAGGGCGAGGCACGUGAAACCUUGUCUGAAUAUGGGGGGACCAUCCUCCAAGGCUAAAUACUCCUGACUGACCGAUAGUGAACCAGUACCGUGAGGGAAAGGCGAAAAGAACCCCUGUGAGGGGAGUGAAAUAGAUCCUGAAACCGCAUGCAUACAAGCAGUGGGAGCACCUUCGUGGUGUGACUGCGUACCUUUUGUAUAAUGGGUCAGCGACUUAUAUUCAGUAGC
rnacentral:rRNA from 1 species